AGACAUGCCUCCGAGGAAGAAACGCAAGAAGCAGAUCAACAAAGUCUUACCUGAAGCCAUAACAUCGGUGGAGGAGAUCAGGGUUACUCGGUGAAGGCGGUUCUAAAAACCAAAAGGCAAAAGCAAAUGGAAUUGGUGGGGAACCCUGUUCCAUGUGUGGGAAGUCAUGGCCCCCACAUUGGGUGGAGAAGGAGGAGACCAGGGCCAAAGUGGUCAACAAAAACACAGGGUGAACACCAAGGGUCAUCUUUGCCCCUCUCCACCCUUCCUGUGCCCUGCUCGACCUGAU